GACGAACGCUGGCGGCGUGCUUAACACAUGCAAGUCGAACGGUGAACGAGGGAGCUUGCUCCCUCCGGAUCAGUGGCGAACGGGUGAGUAACACGUGAGCAACCUGCCCCGAACUCUGGGAUAAGCGUUGGAAACGACGUCUAAUACCGGAUACGACGCGGGAGGGCAUCCUCUCUGCGUGGAAAGAACUUCGGUUCUGGCUGGGGUCGCGGCCUAUGUGCUUGUUGGUGAGGUAACGGCACACCAAGGCGGCGACGGGUAGCCAGCCUGAGAGCGUGCCCGGGCACACUGGGACUGAGAGACGGCCCAGACGCCUACGGGAGGCAGCGGUGGGGAAUAUUGCACAAUGGGCGCAAGCCUGAUGCAGCAGCGCCGCGUGAGGGAAGACGGCCUUCGGGGUGUAAACCUCUGUUAGCAGGGAAGAAGCGAAAGUGACGGUACCUGCAGAAAAAGCACCGGCUAACUACGUG
rnacentral:rRNA from 1 species